AGUCGANCGAUGCUUUCGGGCAUAGUGGCGCACGGGUGCGUAACGCGUGGGAAUCUGCCCUUGGGUUCGGAAUAACAGUUGGAAACGACUGCUAAUACCGGAUGAAGACGAAAGUCCAAAGAUUUAUCGCCUGAGGAUGAGCCCGCGUAAGAUUAGGUAGUUGGUGGGGUAAAGGCCUACCAAGCCGACGAUCUUUAGCUGGUCUGAGAGGAUGAUCAGCCACACUGGGACUGAGACACGGCCCAGACUCCUACGGGAGGCAGCAGUGGGGAGUAUUGGACAAUGGGCGAAAGCCUGAUCCAGCAAUGCCGCGUGAGUGAUGAAGGCCUUAGGGUUGUAAGGCUCUUUUACCCGGGAUGAUAAUGACAGUACCGGGAGAAUAAGCCCCGGCUAACUCCGUGCCAGCAGCCGCGGUAAUACGGAGGGGGCUAGCGUUGUUCGGAAUUACUGGGCGUAAAGCGCACGUAGGCGGCUUUGUAAGUUAGAGGUGAAAGCCUGGAGCUCAACUCCAGAAUUGCCUUUAAGACUGCAUCGCUUGAAUCCAGGAGAGGUGAGUGGAAUUCCGAGUGUAGAGGUGAAAUUCGUAGAUAUUCGGAAGAACACCAGUGGCGAAGGCGGCUCACUGGACUGGUAUUGACGCUGAGGUGCGAAAGCGUGNGGAGCAAACAGGAUUAGAUACCCUGGUAGUCCACGCCGUAAACGAUGAUAACUAGCUGUCCGGGGACUUGGUCUUUGGGUGGCGCAGCUAACGCAUUAAGUUAUCCGCCUGGGGAGUACGGCCGCAAGGUUAAAACUCAAAGGAAUUGACGGGGGCCUGCACAAGCGGNGGAGCAUGUGGUUUAAUUCNAAGCAACGCGCAGAACNUUACCAGCGUUUGACAUGUCCGGACGAUUU
rnacentral:rRNA from 1 species